UACGGGGGGAGCAAGCGUUGUUCGGAUUUACUGGGCGUAAAGGGCGCGUAGGCGGCGCAACAAGUCACUUGUGAAAUCUCCGGGCUUAACUCGGAACGGUCAAGUGAUACUGUUGUGCUAGAGUGCGGAAGGGGCAACUGGAAUUCUCGGUGUAGCGGUGAAAUGCGUAGAUAUCGAGAGGAACACCUGCGGCGAAGGCGGGUUGCUGGGCCGACACUGACGCUGAUGCGCGAAAGCCAGGGGAGCGAACGGG
rnacentral:rRNA from 1 species